AUACGGAGGGUGCAAGCGUUAUUCGGAAUCACUGGGCGUAAAGGACACGUAGGCGGGUUGGCAAGUCAGAUGUGAAAUCCUACAGCUUAACUGUAGAACUGCAUUUGAAACUGCUAACCUAGAGUAUGGGAGGGGGAGAUGGAAUUAGUGGUGUAGGGGUAAAAUCCGUAGAUAUCACUAGGAAUACCGAAAGCGAAGGCGAUCUCCUGGAACAUAACUGACGCUAAGGCGUGAAAGCGUGGGGAGCAAACAGGAUUAGAAACCCGAGUAGUCC
rnacentral:rRNA from 1 species